AACAGGAUUAGAUACCCUGGUAGUCCAUGCCGUAAACGAUGUCUACUAGCCGUUGGGGCCUUUGAGGCUUUAGUGGCGCAGCUAACGCGAUAAGUAGACCGCCUGGGGAGUACGGUCGCAAGACUAAAACUCAAAUGAAUUGACGGGGGCCCGCACAAGCGGUGGAGCAUGUGGUUUAAUUCGAUGCAACGCGAAGAACCUUACCUGGCCUUGACAUACUAGAAACUUUCCAGAGAUGGAUUGGUGCCUUCGGGAAUCUAGAUACAGGUGCUGCAUGGCUGUCGUCAGCUCGUGUCGUGAGAUGUUGGGUUAAGUCCCGCAACGAGCGCAACCCUUGUCAUUAGUUGCUACGAAAGGGCACUCUAAUGAGACUGCCGGUGACAAACCGGAGGAAGGUGGGGAUGACGUCAGGUCAUCAUGGCCCUUAUGGGUAGGGCUACACACGUCAUACAAUGGCCGGGACAGAGGGCUGCCAACCCGCGAGGGGGAGCCAGUCCCAGAAACCCGGUCGUAGUCCGGAUCGUAGUCUGCAACUCGACUGCGUGAAGUCGGAAUCGCUAGUAAUCGCGGAUCAGCUUGCCGCGGUGAAUACGUUCCCGGGUCUUGUACACACCGCCCGUCACACCAUGGGAGCGGGUUCUGCCAGAAGUAGUUAGCCUAACCGCAAGGGGGGCGAUUACCACGGCAGGGUUCGUGACUGGGGGUGAAGUCGUAACAAGGUAACC
rnacentral:rRNA from 1 species